UCCAGACUCCUACGGGAGGCAGCAGUGGGGGAUAUUGCACAAUGGGGGGAACCCUGAUGCAGCGACGCCGCGUGAAGGAAGAAGUAUCUCGGUAUGUAAACUUCUAUCAGCAGGGAAGAAAAUGACGGUACCUGACUAAGAAGCCCCGGCUAACUACGUGCCAGCAGCCGCGGUAAUACGUAGGGGGCAAGCGUUAUCCGGAUUUACUGGGUGUAAAGGGAGCGUAGGCGGCAGUGCAAGUCAGAAGUGAAAGCCCGGGGCUCAACUCCGGGACUGCUCUUGGAACUGCGCGGCUGGAGUGCAGGAGGGGCAGGCGGAGUUCCUGGUGUAGCGGUGAAAUGCGUAGAUAUCAGGAGGAACACCGGUGGCGAAGGCGGCCUGCUGGACUGCGACUGACGUUGAGGCCCGAAAGCGUGGGGAGCAAACAGGAUUAGAUACCCCGGUA
rnacentral:rRNA from 1 species